rnacentral:rRNA from 3 species
AACGCGAAGAACCUUACCUACUCUUGACAUCCAGAGAACUUAGCAGAGAUGCUUUGGUGCCUUCGGGAACUCUGAGACAGGUGCUGCAUGGCUGUCGUCAGCUCGUGUUGUGAAAUGUUGGGUUAAGUCCCGCAACGAGCGCAACCCUUAUCCUUUGUUGCCAGCGGUCCGGCCGGGAACUCAAAGGAGACUGCCAGUGAUAAACUGGAGGAAGGUGGGGAUGACGUCAAGUCAUCAUGGCCCUUACGAGUAGGGCUACACACGUGCUACAAUGGCGCAUACAAAGAGAAGCGACCUCGCGAGAGCAAGCGGACCUCAUAAAGUGCGUCGUAGUCCGGAUUGGAGUCUGCAACUCGACUCCAUGAAGUCGGAAUCGCUAGUAAUCGUAGAUCAGAAUGCUACGGUGAAUACGUUCCCGGGUCUUGUACACACCG